GACGAACGCUGGCGGCGUGCCUAAUACAUGCAAGUUGAGCGCUGAAGGUUGGUACUUGUACCGACUGGAUGAGCAGCGAACGGGUGAGUAACGCGUGGGGAAUCUGCCUUUGAGCGGGGGACAACAUUUGGAAACGAAUGCUAAUACCGCAUAAAAACUUUAAACACAAGUUUUAAGUUUGAAAGAUGCAAUUGCAUCACUCAAAGAUGAUCCCGCGUUGUAUUAGCUAGUUGGUGAGGUAAAGGCUCACCAAGGCGAUGAUACAUAGCCGACCUGAGAGGGUGAUCGGCAAAAUUGGGACUGAGACACGGCCCAAACUCCUACGGGAGGAAGCAGUAGGGAAUCUUCGGCAAGGGACGAAAGUCUGACCGAGCAACGCCGCGUGAGUGAAGAAGGUUUUCGGAUCGUAAAACUCUGUUGGUAGAGAAGAACGUUGGUGAGAGUGGAAAGCUCAUCAAGUGACGGUAACUACCCAGAAAGGGACGGCUAACUACGUG
rnacentral:rRNA from 1 species